CAGGCUGUCUCCACCCGAGACUCAGUGAAAUUGAACUCGCUGUGAAGAUGCAGUGUACCCGCGGCAAGACGGAAAGACCCCGUGAACCUUUACUAUAGCUUGACACUGAACAUUGAGCCUUGAUGUGUAGGAUAGGUGGGAGGCUUUGAAGUGUGGACGCCAGUCUGCAUGGAGCCGACCUUGAAAUACCACCCUUUAAUGUUUGAUGUUCUAACGUGGACCCGUAAUCCGGGUUGCGGACAGUGUCUGGUGGGUAGUUUGACUGGGGCGGUCUCCUCCUAAAGAGUAACGGAGGAGCACGAAGGUUGGCUAAUCCUGGUCGGACAUCAGGAGGUUAGUGCAAUGGCAUAAGCCAGCUUGACUGCGAGCGUGACGGCGCGAGCAGGUGCGAAAGCAGGUCAUAGUGAUCCGGUGGUUCUGAAUGGAAGGGCCAUCGCUCAACGGAUAAAAGGUACUCCGGGGAUAACAGGCUGAUACCGCCCAAGAGUUCAUAUCGACGGCGGUGUUUGGCACCUCGAUGUCGGCUCAUCACAUCCUGGGGCUGAAGUAGGUCCCAAGGGUAUGGCUGUUCGCCAUUUAAAGUGGUACGCGAGCUGGGUUUAGAACGUCGUGAGACAGUUCGGUCCCUAUCUGCCGUGGGCGCUGGAGAAUUGAGGGGGGCUGCUCCUAGUACGAGAGGACCGGAGUGGACGCAUCACUGGUGUUCGGGUUGUCAUGCCAAUGGCACUGCCCGGUAGCUAAAUGCGGAAGAGAUAAGUGCUGAAAGCAUCUAAGCACGAAACUUGCCCCGAGAUGAGUUCUCCCUGACUCCUUGAGAGUCCUGAAGGAACGUUGAAGACGACGACGUUGAUAGGCCGGGUGUGUAAGCGCAGCGAUGCGUUGAGCUAACCGGUACUAAUGAACCGUGAGGCUUAACCUUACAACGCCGAAG
rnacentral:rRNA from 1 species